rnacentral:rRNA from 1 species
GACGAACGCUGGCGGCGUGCUUAACACAUGCAAGUCGAACGGAAAGGCCCUGCUUUUGUGGGGUGCUCGAGUGGCGAACGGGUGAGUAACACGUGAGUAACCUGCCCUUGACUUUGGGAUAACUUCAGGAAACUGGGGCUAAUACCGUAUAGGAUCUCCUGCUGCAUGGUGGGGGUUGGAAAGUUUCGGCGUUUGGGGAUGGAUUCGCGGCUUUUCAGCUUGUUGGUGGGGUAGUGGCUUACCAAGGCUUUGACGGGUAGCCGGCCUGUGAGGGUGACCGGCGACAUUGGGACUGAGAUACGGCCCAGACUGCUACGGGAGGCAGCAGUGGGGAAUAUUGCACAAUGGGAGGAAGCCUGAUGCAGCAACGCCGCGUGCGGGAUGACGGCCUUCGGGUUGUAAACCGCUUUCGCCUGUGACGAAGCGUGAGUGACGGUAAUGGGUAAAGAAGCACCGGCUAACUACGUG